rnacentral:lncRNA from 1 species
UUGCUUCCUGUGUGAGCCAUGCUUAGGAUAGGUUGGCCCUUGUGCCAUUUAGCUAGAAACCUUAACUUAGGGAUGAUUUGCAUGAUAACAUCUAGGCUCGAGUCGUAGUCUCCCUAGUUGUGUCUCCCUCUGUUAUCUGGUUAGGCUAGUCCUUUAUCCCUGCGUAGGGGAACUACAUCGCCCUGAUCUUCAUACCAGAUGAAGUAUGUAGGCAGGAGAUUGAGCUGAUCUCUCCGGGCGCCCUUUUUCUUUUUU